UACGGGGGGUGCUAGCGCUAUUCGGAAUCAUUGGGCGUAAAGGGCGCGUAGGCGGUCUUUUAAGUCAGAUGUGAAAGCCCUCGGCUUAACCGAGGAAGUGCAUUUGAUACUAAGAGACUUGAGUAUGGGAGAGGGAAGCGGAAUUCCUGGUGUAGCGGUGAAAUGCGUAGAUAUCAGGAGGAACACCGGUGGCGAAGGCGGCUUCCUGGACCAAUACUGACGCUGAGGCGAGAAGGCGUGGGGAGCAAACAGG
rnacentral:rRNA from 1 species